AGUUCGAGAGGAUUGUGAAACAAAGAAGGAGAAAGGAAAACAGAAGAAAGCAUGGCAAGCAACAAACAAAACUAUACAACAAAGCUGAGAAAUCAAGAAGGACAAGGAUGGAGUGAAAGCGGUUGGAUUUGGCACACCAUGUCUGCAUGGACCUGCCAGAGGCAGCUGGGGACAGAUCCUGAAAGGCAUCUGCUGGAAAAGUGAAACGAGAUUAAUUUUGAAGGAGGUUCCUGGAUCUUGAUUUGUGUGGCUAUUUGCAUUUAUGUCACCCGCCUCAGAUUGGAAGUUCCUGGAGGUCAGGGACAGUGCCUUGUUCUUCCUCUGUAAUUUCCCAUAGCCCCUACUUCAGGCCUCUGCAUG